CAUUCUCUCCCUCAGAGACCCCAUAUGUGCAACCCCUGCAUGAGACACCCCUUCAAUCCCGCAUUCAUUCCCUGCGUGAAAGCUUCCGGCCUAUGAGCCGCCAAUCUGGCCCCUGAAGUCGGGCUGGACAAAUAGGUUGUGGGAAGGUGGGUUUCUGGGUGCACACACCACCUCUGGUCUCCCUGCCCCGCCAGGCUCUUGCCCACGUGGAGGCCUAUAUCGAUUUCGGCGAGGAUGACAACCUGGAGGAGGGGGUCCUGGAGCAAGGUGGGUCUACCUGCUGGUGGGGGAGGAAGACACCUCGUAUCAGCCCUCAAAGGCUCCCCUCACUGUUUCUCUCUGCCUGCCUUCUCUCACCCACAGCCGACAUCGAAGUACGGGCACUGGAGGUGGCCCUGGGUGCACAUCUACGAGAUGCCAGGCGCGGGCAGAGGCUCCGCUCAGGGGCGCACGUAGUGGUCACUGGACCCCCCAAUGCGGGCAAGAGCAGCCUGGUGAACCUGCUCAGUCGGAAACCCGUGUCCAUCGUGUCCCCGGAGCCAGGGACCACCCG
rnacentral:sRNA from 1 species